UAUCAGGACAGAGAAAGAUCACAAGACAAUAUGAAGGAGCAAAGACAACCUAUUAAAAAAAGACCAAGUGAUGUUUUCAGCUGCCUAAAAUGUAAAAAUAUAUCAACAGAUGACCAGGACACUAAAGCUGCCACAGGAACUGGGUGCUGCAGUGCCAGGAGUUUCAUGUGGCCUUCUCACCGGUGUUCCUGAGGCUGCCUCUGUUAGUAGGAAAAGCAGUUGCAGAACAAAGUUACAAUUUAUUACAAGAACGAAAUCUUAUGGAAAAAGGAUACUGGCUAGUCCUCACUGAUAAGAAAUAGAAACAGACUGCCUACAGACAAGAUGACUUCAUGUAAAGUAUUGAGCAACAUUAAAUUUGUUCUCUGUUUUAUUCAUUUGUAAUAUAAAGGAGUCAUGGUGCAUUUACUAAGAGCCCAG
rnacentral:lncRNA from 1 species